rnacentral:rRNA from 1 species
UCGGGAAUUUUGGGCAAUGGGCGAAAGCCUGACACAGCAACGCCGCGUGAAGGAUGAAGUCCCUCGGGAUGUAAACUUCGUAAGAAUAGGAAGAAUAAAUGACGGUACUAUUUGUAAGGUCCGGCUAACUACGUGCCAGCAGCCGCGGUAAUACGUAGGGACCAAGCGUUGUUCGGAUUUACUGGGCGUAAAGGGUGCGUAGGCGGCAUAUCAAGUCACUUGUGAAAUCUCCGGGCUUAACUCGGAACUGCCAAGUGAUACUGAUGUGCUAGAGUGCAGAAAGGGCAACUGGAAUUCUUGGUGUAGCGGUGAAAUGCGUAGAUAUCAAGAGGAACACCUGAGGCGAAGGCGAGUUGCUAGGCUGACACUGACGCUGAGGUACGAAAGCUAGGGGAGCGAACGGGAUUAGAUACCCCCGUAGUCCCUGAGCGGGCUGGCAAG